rnacentral:piRNA from 1 species
UAGAAGACAAUGCGUGUGAUACAAAGGG